UACGUAGGUGGCGAGCGUUGUCCGGAUUUACUGGGCGUAAAGAGCGCGCAGGCGGUCGUACAAGUCGCGUGUGAAAGCCCCCGGCUCAACUGGGGAGGGUCACGCGAUACUGUUCGACUCGAAGGCAGGAGAGGGAAGUGGAAUUCCCGGUGUAGUGGUGAAAUGCGUAGAUAUUCGGAAGAACACCAGUGGCGAAGGCGACUCACUGGCCCGAUACUGACGCUGAGGCGCGAAAGCGUGGGGAGCAAACAGG
rnacentral:rRNA from 1 species